rnacentral:rRNA from 1 species
GAUGAACGCUGGCGGCGUGCUUAACACAUGCAAGUCGAACGAGUGGCGAACGGGUGAGUAAUACGUGGGUAACCUGCCCUCUUUUUGGGAUAAGCCUUGGAAACGUGGCCUAAUACCGAAUAAGGGGGGAUGGGCUCGCGGCCUAUCGGCUUGUUGGUGGGGUGAUGGCCUACCAAGGCGGCGACGGGUAGCCGGCCUGAGAGGGUGACCGGGAACAGUGGAACUGAGAUAGGGCCCAGGGUACGACGGGGGGGAGAAGUUGGGGAUAUUGCACAAAGGGCGAAAGCCCGAUGCCGCGAGGACGCGUGGGGGAUGAAGGCUUUCGGGUUGUAUACCUGUUUCGCUAGCGAACGGGUAGGUGGAGAAGAAGCGCCGGCUAACUACGUGCCAGCAGCCGCGGUAAUUC